rnacentral:rRNA from 1 species
GACGAACGCUGGCGGCGUGCUUAACACAUGCAAGUCGAACGGAAAGGCCCUGCUUUUGUGGGGUGCUCGAGUGGCGAACGGGUGAGUAACACGUGAGUAACCUGCCCUUGACUUUGGGAUAACUUCAGGAAACUGGGGCUAAUACCGGAUAGGAGCUCCUGCUGCAUGGUGGGGGUUGGAAAGUUUCGGCGGUUGGGGAUGGACUCGCGGCUUAUCAGCUUGUUGGUGGGGUAGUGGCUUACCAAGGCUUUGACGGGUAGCCGGCCUGAGAGGGUGACCGGCCACAUUGGGACUGAGAUACGGCCCAGACUCCUACGGGAGGCAGCAGUGGGGAAUAUCGCACAAUGGGCGGAAGCCUGAUGCAGCAACGCCGCGUGCGAGAUGACGGCCUUCGGGUUGUAAACCGCUUUCGCCUGUGACGAAGCGUGAGUGACGGUAAUGGGUAAAGAAGCACCGGCUAACUACGUGCCAGCAGCCGCGGUGAUACGUAGGGUGCGAGCGUUGUCCGGAUUUAUUGGGCGUAAAGGGCUCGUAGGUGGUUGAUCGCGUCGGAAGUGUAAUCUUGGGGCUUAACCCUGAGCGUGCUUUCGAUACGGGUUGACUUGAGGAAGGUAGGGGAGAAUGGAAUUCCUGGUGGAGCGGUGGAAUGCGCAGAUAUCAGGAGGAACACCAGUGGCGAAGGCGGUUCUCUGGGCCUUUCCUGACGCUGAGGAGCGAAAGCGUGGGGAGCGAACAGGCUUAGAUACCCUGGUAGUCCACGCUGUAAACGGUGGGUACUAGGUGUGGGGUCCAUUCCACGGGUUCCGUGCCGUAGCUAACGCUUUAAGUACCCCGCCUGGGGAGUACGGCCGCAAGGCUAAAACUCAAAGGAAUUGACGGGGCCCCGCACAAGCGGCGGAGCAUGCGGAUUAAUUCGAUGCAACGCGUAGAACCUUACCUGGGUUUGACAUGGAUCGGGAGUGCUCAGAGAUGGGUGUGCCUCUUUUGGGGUCGGUUCACAGGUGGUGCAUGGCUGUCGUCAGCUCGUGUCGUGAGAUGUUGGGUUAAGUCCCGCAACGAGCGCAACCCUUGUUCACUGUUGCCAGCACGUUAUGGUGGGGACUCAGUGGAGACCGCCGGGGUCAACUCGGAGGAAGGUGGGGAUGACGUCAAGUCAUCAUGCCCCUUAUGUCCAGGGCUUCACGCAUGCUACAAUGGCUGGUACAGAGAGUGGCGAGCCUGUGAGGGUGAGCGAAUCUCGGAAAGCCGGUCUCAGUUCGGAUUGGGGUCUGCAACUCGACCUCAUGAAGUCGGAGUCGCUAGUAAUCGCAGAUCAGCAACGCUGCGGUGAAUACGUUCCCGGG